GGUGUCGCCUGCCGGGGGCGGCGGGCUCCAGGCUGCCUGCGGGAGGCAGAGCGGGGGGGAGAGCCGGGGCGUAACUUCGCAGCGGAGCGCUCCGUGCCCUCCCCCGCCCCGGCCCGCAGGGGGAUUAAAGCCCUUCGAGCCCGACGACGCUCUCCUCUCUCGGCGCUUCCCUUCUCCGCCCUGUGCCAGCUGCGAAGCCCGGAGCCUGCGCGUGGCUUUGCUCGCCGCAGGGCGGAGGAAGAUUCGUCUGACUCGUCCGUCAGAAAGGAGAGUCAAGAAGUUCAAUCCCGGGGCGCCCGGAGGAGCUGGCGAGUUCCCGCCCGGUGUCACCGGGCUGCGCGCACCCCCACUGGCGCUCGGGCUGACGGACUGACUGACAGACUGACAGCAGCCGACGAGCCAUGAAGUUCUGGCUCCGGAGUUGUCUCGCAUCCCGUGGCGUUGCAGAGCGGGGGCGAGUGUGGAGGAACAGUGCGGUGUAUGUGCAGGCCAAGUUGGGGAAGAUGUCUGGUUUACGCUUCUGGGGGUGUCUGGGUUUUGGGGCGCCUUCUGACGCUCGGCUCUCCCCUAGAUCAGGAUGUGCAGCACGGCAGAUCAACACCGACUUCAGUAAACCAUGUAAUGGAGGCAGUUCUGGAUCUCUGAAAGGGCUCAGAGUGUCUGCAGUAGUGAACAUUAUCUGCUGCCCAGUGUGGUGAAGGGGAAGCAAUUCUUGAAAAAGUUCAAGAUAACUGGUUAACUGUGAAUGGGCCUAAUCUUUCGUGAAACCAAGAAAAUUUUUGGACACACACAGGACUUGAAUACUCAAAAGGAUUGGAACUUAGUGUUGUGCCAAAGUUAAACUACUGCAGUUGGCAGAAGUUCUGCACUGUAAAUAGAAGACUGAUUAAAAGCUUGUAAAAAAAAAAAAAUCAGAUUUUAAUACAGUACAUUUUUAUUCUGAUACAUGAUGGAAACAUUCUGUUUUAGACCUUUUUUGAAGAGGCUUCAGUGACCACUAGAUUUUGUCCUCUUAUAUUUUGUUUGGCCUAAUACUAUAUGUUCUAGUAAGAUGGGCUUUAUUGCCUGUGUUCUUUGAUAUGUGAUUAAGCUUAUAGCUUUGAGUGACCAAACAUUUUACAGAGUAAAAGUUCUUAGAAACAGUAUAACAUAACUGAUAUUUCUGUGUCUUAUUUAUCAGGCUCUGCACAAACUUGGAAAGUUGUGCUGGACUUGUACAACUCAUAUAUGGGAACGCAGCAUACUUCUGGAUAUUACAAACCUAAGCCUUUGUGGCAGUAUGGAUCUUGUCUUUGGAUUUAUUUUUGUUAUUUUCUUGAGGCAAAGAGACAAAUGGAUGCUGCUGUAAAAUAUUUGUAAUAUUUGCCAUUAUUGCUUUCUGUAGCAAUUACUGCUUUUGCUUCAACAGAUAAAGAAAAUAAAUCGGAGAUAGAAAAAUCCUGAAAGACGCUGGUAGAAGAAAGGAUCAUGUGGGAACUUCUGAAAAUAAACUUUGUACCAAAAAUUUGAAAAAAGAAAUAAUGGAAUAAAUGUCUCUUUACUGAGUGCGUGUGGUUUUAAGAGGUGAUGUGGAAACCAGGAACCAUGUCGGUAUGAAAAUGUCACAAACCAGAUCUUCUCAAAUGUCUUUUUUCCUGUUUCACAAAACUGAAUUUCCCUGAUUCCUCAGAUGCAUUGAAUUUGGAGAACUGGCUUGGCUGAACAGCCAGCGUGAGGUCAGCUUCAUGUGCGAGACAGUACAGCUGCUUGUUGCUGAACUGUUCUGCUGUGUCAGCAGGCCAGGGACUUCCACGUGAUUUUUCUCAUUAAGGCAGAUGCUCUUUAUCGCAUUUAAAAUAUUUGGGGGAGGGAAGAGUAGGGGCGAGUAGGAACCACCUCCCUGCUGAAGUCCCUGUCAGUUGGACAUCAUGCUUCGUGGCUGUUUUUAACAUUAACAUGUGCCUUUUCCUCAGAGAAGAAGGGUCUGAGAGGAGCACUUUCUGUUGAGCUCUGCAUCUCUGGUGAGCCUGAGUUGCCGUCACCCACAGAAGCUCCCCACCAGUGGCAGUACCGCCGUCUUGCAUCAGCAUGACUCAUCACGCCUGUCUACUUCAACUGUUGGGCUGCAACUGGAGGGCUCAAGACCCAGUCUUCCCUGCAGGACCCGGCAUCGUGCCUGCAGACCUAUCCCCGCCUGAGAAAAAGAUACUUAAGGCGAUAGAAUCAUUCCUGUGCUGUAGCUCAUGUCAGUCCUGAAAAAUUACAUCCCUAGCUGAAGUAGCGACCUAUGCACAGGCCUGGAGAUGAGUGCUAGCAGCCAGUACAGCUUGGUGUUUGGCCAAAUAGUUUUACUCAAUUUGGUGAAAAAAAAAAAGGGGGGGGGNNNNNNNNNNNNNNNNNNNNNNNNNNNNNNNNNNNNNNNNNNNNNNNNNNNNNNNNNNNNNNNNNNNNNNGGGGGGGGGGGG
rnacentral:lncRNA from 1 species